UUCGUAGGGUGCGAGCGUUAAUCGGAAUUACUGGGCGUAAAGCGUGCGCAGGCGGUUUUGUAAGCCAGAUGUGAAAUCCCCGGGCUCAACCUGGGAAUGGCAUUUGGGACUGCAAGGCUGGAGUACGGCAGAGGAGACUGGAAUUCCUGGUGUAGCAGUGAAAUGCGUAGAUAUCAGGAGGAAUACCGAUGGCGAAGGCAGGUCUCUGGUCUGAUACUGACGCUCAUGCACGAAAGCGUGGGGAUCAAACAGG
rnacentral:rRNA from 1 species